AUGAAAUUAACUCAGUUCUGUGACGUACUCUGGAAUGGGAAAGAAGGGUUUGAGGUUAAACAUGUUAGUGGAAGAGGAAGGACCUACACUGGCAACUUAGAUAACAGGACAUGCUCCUGUGGGUACCUGCAGCUGGCAGGUCUACCUUGCUGCCAUGCUAUCAGUGCUAUUUAUAAGAGUGGCAGAAGAAUUGAAGACUUCAUUGACAAGUGCUAUUCAGUUGAGCAAUUCAAGAAAAUAUAUGAGCACUGCUUGGAGCCAGUUGAAGGUGAGGAAAGGUGGCCUGUUUCUCAGAAUCCCAGACCACAAGCUCCUGGUUAUGUGAGCAUGCCAGGUAGACCCAGGAAAAAUGACAGGAGGAGGGAAGAGGGAGAAGCACCAAAAGGAAAGAAGAUGUCAAGACAUGGGAUUAAAAUUACUUAUAGUAUGUGUGGGAAUAAAGGCCACAAUAAGUCAGGUUGCCACAAAAAUCCAGAAAAGGCAAGAAAAAAAAAUGCCUUUCUGAGAAAAACAGGGAGGAAAAUGAAGGCCUCUGAGGUAUAUAAUUGUGUAUUUCUUCUAUUUCAUAUACUAGUGGAUUUCUUCUGUUUCAUGUAA
rnacentral:rRNA from 1 species